CUCAAAGUCACCCCAGCAGACUUUCACUUUGCUUUCCAUGAGAAUCUCUCCCUAAUCCGACUCAACUCCUAUAUUUCUACUUAGCUAAAUUCCACUGACUUUUCAACUCCCAAUUUACACAGUAAUUCUUCAACAUCAUUCCCCCAUCAUCUGUUACUAAUUUAGGCUUACUAACUACUAGCAGUAGUGAGCAUCUUGAAGUGAAAGUAUUAGUCUCACAGUUGUGCCCGAAUCUGUGACUCCGUCGACUGCAGCCUGCCAGGCUCGCCUGUCCAUGCAAUUCUCCAGGCAAGAAUACUGGAGUGGGUAGUCAUUCCCUUCUCCAGGAGAUUAUCCCGACCCAGGGAUCAAGCUCCAAUCUCCUGCACUGCAGUCCUGUGGCCACUGUUGAGUUUUCCAAAUUUGCUGGCAUAUUGACUGCAGCACUUCCACAGCGUCAUCUUUCAAGAUUUGAAAUAGCUCAACUGGAAUUCCAUCACCUCCGCUGGCUUUGUUCAUAGUGAUGAUUCCUAAGGCCCACUUGACUUCACAUUCCAGGAUGUCUGGCUCUAGGUAUUUACCCAGACUUACCUGUCCACAUGAAAACCUGCACAUAGAUGUCUAUAACAGCUUUGUUCCUAACUGCCAAAAGUUGGAAGCAAUCAAGAUGUCCUUCAUCCUUCAGAUCCAUCCUUCCAGAUGAUAUACCAUUAUUUGAAACUUAAAGAAAAAAAGAGCUACCAAGCCAUGAAAAGACAAGGAAGAAACUUAAAUGCAUAAUUCCAGCUGUAUGACCUUCUGGAAAAGGCAAAACUAUGGAGACGAUAAAAGGUGAGUGGUUGCCAGCAGGUGGGAGGAAAGAAAGCAUGCAGAGGCAGAACACACAGGGUGUGGGGUACAGUGGAACUGAGCUUUGCUCUACUACAGUGGUGGACACACACCAUUAUGCGUUUCUCAAAAUCCAUAGAAUGUAUGACAUCAAGAGCUAACCUCAGUGUAAAUCAGGGAGGUUGAGUGAUAAUGAGGUGUGAGGGUCCGUUUAUCAUAAUGAAUGUAGCGCUCUAGUAUGGAUGUUGAUAGUGGGUAAGUUGUGCACUGCAGAAACAGGAGGUAUAUGGGGACUUUCUGUGUUUUCUGCUCAAUUUUGCUGUGAACCUAAGUAAUAAACUUCAUUAAUCUGGGGAGCAGGGCAGGGAAAGAAAAUGACUCAUCCAAGGUCACAGAACCAGGGUGAAUAUUUG
ensembl:lncRNA